rnacentral:lncRNA from 1 species
UGUCUAUAAUGAACUUCAUUGCUGCUUUUUAAAAAUUUUUCCUUUUGAUAAGAAAUUAAAGACUGAUUUCCUCUCUACAAAAGAAAAUGCCACUUUAUUCCCCAUACACACCCUCUCUCUUAGUAAAACAACUCUGAUUUUUAUAGCUGGGCAUCUUGCCACCCAGUUAAAGAUGUAUUCCCUUGCAGCUAAAUAAGGCCAAGUGACUAUGCUCUUGCCAAUAAUAUGUAAACUGAAGUGUAGCAAGGUACUUUUGGGAAGUCUCUUUAAAAAGCAUCAUUUCUUUUGUAUUUGUCCCUUCAUCUUCCUGCUACUCAAGAUGUGCAUAUAAUGGCAGGCACUUCUGUAGGCAUUUUGGAUCAUGAAAUGUCUUUGAUGGAAACUAAGAAAAGUAGAGAAACAGAAUUGAAGGUUUCACAAUUCUAAAACCUUUGUAAAAGUUUUGUAAAAGGUUUUACAAUUGAAGGUAAUUAAUAUUACACUAUUAAUUAUAGUAAAGGUCAUGCUUCUGUGGAAAAAAAAAAGAGUCCCUUGACAUGAUGGUUCAAACAAGUUAGGAAAGGCAGACUGUGCUUCUCAAAAUCAGCCAGAGAAUCAGACUGGCUGAGCACACUGCCAUCCUCAAUGCAUGGCUUCUAGAUUGCUUUAGCCUUUAUCAUUUGAAGCCAAUAGGAAGCAAGGAGAACAUCAAAGCACAUAAUUAAUGACCGAAAGCAUCCAUCACUUCUGCUCAAAUCAUUUUGGGAAUGUCAUAGUCUUCUUGAUCACACUUGAAUGCUGGGGAAGCUAAGCAGUGUAGUACAACUGGACAAUCAGUUCCUGUGUCCAAGAACUUUUUAAAGACAGUAGGGUAGAAUGCUUACUUGUAAUCAAAAAGCAGUCUCCACCAAAACUGUAGGUCUUCAUAUUCUAUCCAGAUGGUAAAAAGUUAACUUUUCUCUUGUUUAGCUUACUACACGCCGGGCCUUUAUUAUUUAUAGUUGAACAUCAUCUUCAUUGAUAUACCCCUUUUAUGUUUUUUCAAUGAACCUCAUCUGUAAAUCAUUAACUGGAUUAUUAGAUAAGUGCUAAAUAAUCCCCAGCUGUAAAAUUCUAAGAAUAAUUAAAACUUCCUUUCUUAACAUUCUUAGUGAACAACUUACAGGUUAAAAAACAAACCCAAAGAGAUUAUUUCCUGCAAAGAGCCUUUAGUAUGGUAGCACCUACUUCUAGAAGGCCUGUCAUAAACUGUCAUCUAGUGAAAGUGAUGAAGAAGAGUGGCUGGGAGUCAAUCUUAUCAGGAGCUGGAACAGGUGAAGCCCUCACCAGUGAAAAAUCUUGACAGAUGCAGCUACUAAGAUUUCCUACUACAAAGAAUAACAGCAGUUAGAAAAGCAGACUCCCUGUGGUGGCGACCAGUAUCUUCAAACUCAUACCAGAGUAAAGCCUUAUCCAUUUGGAGUUCUUUCUGAUGCAUUAUGUGAGAAAAACAAGCAAACAAAUGAACACUUAUUUGUAUUUGAAUUGCACUAAAUUUAUACAUGAAACUGAAAAAAACUGAUAUCUUUAUGAAGCUGCAUAAUCCUAUCCAAGGACAGACGUCUCCUUCCAUUUGCUUUUGCUUUACUAAUUUGAAUCUAUGUUAUUUGUUUUGGAUACAUCUGGAAUUGACUUUUUUGCAUGGUGUAAGAAAUAACAGUUCUUCCUGGAUCAGCCCUCUCCCGUCUGUCAUCUCCAACAGAUACAAAGCCAGCUUUAAGAAGACCAAACCUACAAAAAUCAUUCAUGCUUUCUGCCUCCAUGUUUUUCUUUCCAACCUAGUUCCUCCAGAAAAUGUAAAAGAGCAACCGAACCGUCAACUGGUACAAUGACUUCUACACAUCAGACCUCGGCCACGCCACAGUCAUCAGAUUAUUCUAUCACAGGGUCUCUCAACCGUGGAAUAUGGUCUCCAAGGGAAACAAGCCACAGAGGGCUCAGGAGCAUUGCUAUAAAGAGUAGGCAAAUGGAAAUCUUUCCCCAAAGGGCACACUGGGAUUGUUAGGCGAGGGCUGCUCAAUCCAUUAAAAGUUUAAACUCGAAAAAAAAAAAGAAAAAAAAAACCUUUUGAAAAAA